CUCUCUGAUUCAGCGGCGGACGGGUGAGUAAUGCCUAGGAAUCUGCCUGAUAGUGGGGGACAACGUUUCGAAAGGAACGCUAAUACCGCAUACGUCCUACGGGAGAAAGCAGGGGACCUUCGGGCCUUGCGCUAUCAGAUGAGCCUAGGUCGGAUUAGCUAGUUGGUGAGGUAAUGGCUCACCAAGGCGACGAUCCGUAACUGGUCUGAGAGGAUGAUCAGUCACACUGGAACUGAGACACGGUCCAGACUCCUACGGGAGGCAGCAGUGGGGAAUAUUGGACAAUGGGCGAAAGCCUGAUCCAGCCAUGCCGCGUGUGUGAAGAAGGUCUUCGGAUUGUAAAGCACUUUAAGUUGGGAGGAAGGGCAUUAACCUAAUACGUUAGUGUUUUGACGUUACCGACAGAAUAAGCACCGGCUAACUUCGUGCCAGCAGCCGCGGUAAUACGAAGGGUGCAAGCGUUAAUCGGAAUUACUGGGCGUAAAGCGCGCGUAGGUGGUUUGUUAAGUUGGAUGUGAAAGCCCCGGGCUCAACCUGGGAACUGCAUCCAAAACUGGCAAGCUAGAGUAUGGCAGAGGGUGGUGGAAUUUCCUGUGUAGC
rnacentral:rRNA from 1 species